rnacentral:rRNA from 1 species
CCUACGGGUGGCAGCAGUGGGGAAUAUUGCACAAUGGGGGAAACUCUGAUGCAGCAACGCCGCGUGAGUGAAGAAGGAUUUCGGUAUGUAAAGCUCUAUCAGCAGAGAAGAAGAAAGACGGUACUUGCCUUUGACGCCUCGACUAACUAUGUGCCAGCAGCCGCGGUUAUACGCAGGGCGCAAGCGUUAUCCGGAUGUAAUGGGCGUAAAGGGAGCGUAGACGGCUGUGUAAGUCUGAAGUGAAAGCCCGUGGCUCAACCGCGGAAGAGCUUUGGAAACUGUAGAGCUUGAGUACUGGAGAGGCAGGCGGAAUUCCUAGUGUAGCGGUGAAAUGCGUAGAUAUUAGGAGGAACACCAGUGGCGAAGGCGGCCUGCUGGACAGUAACUGACGUUGAGGCUCGAAAGCGUGGGUAGCAAACAGGAUUAGAUACCCGGGUAGUC